CGGGGCCCAGGCCGGGAUAUCAUCGUAUACUGUAAGUUUGCAAUGAGACACUACAGUAUAGAUGAUGUACUGGCGAGGGCCGCCU
rnacentral:pre_miRNA from 15 species